AGCGAACGCUGGCGGCAGGCCUAACGCAUGCAAGUCGAACGGAUCCUUCGGGAUUAGUGGCGGACGGGUGAGUAACACGUGGGAACGUGCCCUUUGGUUCGGAACAACUCAGGGAAACUUGAGCUAAUACCGGAUGUGCCCUUCGGGGGAAAGAUUUAUCGCCAUUGGAGCGGCCCGCGUCUGAUUAGCUAGUUGGUGGGGUAAAGGCUCACCAAGGCUACGAUCAGUAGCUGGUCUGAGAGGAUGAUCAGCCACAUUGGGACUGAGACACGGCCCAAACUCCUACGGGAGGCAGCAGUGGGGAAUCUUGCGCAAUGGGCGAAAGCCUGACGCAGCCAUGCCGCGUGAAUGAUGAAGGUCUUAGGAUUGUAAAAUUCUUUCACCGGGGACGAUAAUGACGGUACCCGGAGAAGAAGCCCCGGCUAACUUCGUGCCAGCAGCCGCCGUAAGAC
rnacentral:rRNA from 1 species